GAUGAACGCUGACAGAAUGCUUAACACAUGCAAGUCAACUUGAAUUUGGGUUUUUAACUUAGGUUUGGGUGGCGGACGGGUGAGUAACGCGUAAAGAACUUGCCUCACAGCUAGGGACAACAUUUGGAAACGAAUGCUAAUACCUAAUAUUAUGAUAAUAGGGCAUCCUAUAAUUAUGAAAGCUAUAAGCGCUGUAAGAGAGCUUUGCGUCCCAUUAGCUAGUUGGAGAGGUAACGGCUCACCAAGGCGAUGAUGGGUAGCCGGCCUGAGAGGGUGAUCGGCCACAAGGGGACUGAGACACGGCCCUUACUCCUACGGGAGGCAGCAGUGGGGAAUAUUGGACAAUGGACCGAGAGUCUGAUCCAGCAAUUCUGUGUGCACGAUGAAGUUUUUCGGAAUGUAAAGUGCUUUCAGUUGGGAAGAAACAAAUGACGGUACCAACAGAAGAAGUGACGGCUAAAUACGUG
rnacentral:rRNA from 1 species